AACAGGAGUUUUAUUCUAUGCGUAAUGAGUAGGAGAGGUUUUAAGCAGAAGAGUACAUAAUCUGACUUUUGGUUUAAAAGUCUCAACCUUGGUGGAUAUGGAUUUAACAAGCUACCGGGGUCAGGAAAGAGGACAGAAUUCUGAGUUAAGAAGUAACUGUAGUCAUCUAGAAAAGAGAUCAGGAAUAUUUAAACUAAGGAGGAAGUGAAUCCACCAGCAACAGUGCCCACUGGCAGGCAUUAUGGCUUAAUUCUCCCAGGAAACCCUGGCUGAGAACGUCUACGGGAUCAAGUCUAAUCUCCUCAAAAUGAAACAGAAGAUCAUUUACAUGCCAUAGACGUCUCCACCUUAUUUCUUGAGACUUCUCUUCCCUUCUUCCUAUAUCAAGCUACCUACAAUUUCCUUAAUGCUGAGCCUAUUUCCAACUUCUUUGUUUGGAAUUCCCUUGGAGUCUCUGUGGUAGUAUCUACUAAUCUUUAUCAAAGUGGAAGCAUGAUCUUAUCCAUGAAACACUUCCUCCUAUUCCCUAAUGCAGAACUGAGGUCUUCCUUCUUGAUACUCAAGAAUGUAAAGGAAAACACGAACAUGAGGAAAAGUGCUUAAAAAAAAGGAAAAGGCCUAAGUGAACCUUACAGAGAUGAAAAAUACAGUAUAUGAAAGGAAACAUUGUGCUGAAUUGGAUUUGUGGCAAAUCAGACCCUUCAGAAGAACCAAUGGUCAACCGGAAGUCACAGCAAUAAAAUAUAUCCAAGGUGAAGCAGUGAGAGGAAAAAAAAGACUUAAAAAAUAAUUCAAUUCUCUCUGAGACAAUAUGAAGUAGUACAAUACAUGCACGCUGGACUCUAAUCAGGAGAGGAGAAAGAGACACAGGAAAAAAUUUUCAGCAAUAAAAACCCAAAAUGUUCCAAGCUUGAUAAAACCCUAUAACCAAAGCAGCUCCAAGACUCCAAGCAGGGUGCACAUAAACACACACACACACACACAUACACACACACACACAGAAUCACAAGGCCCAUCAAAUUCCUAAUGCUGAAAACUAGGGAUCAAGAAAAAAAAAUCUUAAACCAAGUGAGAGGAAAAAAGAGACCUUACAGAGAUAGAGGGCCAAGAUAACAAGGCCAGCAGAUUUUUCCAUCAAGAACGAAACAAGCCAAAAUGCUAAUGUAACAACUUUACAGAUUGAAACAAAAAGCUGUCAACCCAGAAUUCUAUACCCAGUGAAAAUAUAUUUAUUUCAAAAUGAGAGAUAAACACUUCUUCAAGCAAAAGCUAACAGCACAUAUCGCCAUCAGACCCAAACUACAAGAAAUGUUAUUUAUGUGGUUAAUAAAAGAGGCUUUUGCUUCAAAGUUUUCUUUAAAAACUAACUCUUGGGGUGCCUGGGUGGCUCAGUCAGUUGGGCGGCUGACUUCAGCUCAGGUCAUGAUCUCAAGGUCCGUGAGUUCCAGCCCCGCGUCGGGCUCUGUGCUGACAGCUCAGAGCCUGGAGCCUGUUUCAGAUUCUGUGUCUCCCUCUCUCUGACCCUCCCCUGUUCAUGCUCUGUCUCUCCCUGUCUCAAAAAUAAAUUAAAAAAAAUAAUAAUAAAAAUAAAAACUAACUCUUAAAAGCAAAAAUAUAUUUUAGGAUAAUUUAUGGAGAAGCAAAAUGUAUGAUGGUAUCAACACAAAGAACACAUGCCUGAUAAACACUGAUGUAAACUUAUUACACUACACGUGAUACGGUAUAAUAGCAUUAUUAGCAUCAAUAAUUAAUUAUAAUAAUAGUAGUAGUUGUGUGCUA